GCAGAGGAAGUUUAUACUAACUUUAUACUAAACAAGUGAAACGUCACGUUUUAAACCGCUUUAGCUUUAAGCAGUGGACCAGUAGCUGCGUGGUGUGCUGCAGUCUAACAGAAGUCUACAGAAUAAGACACCAUCUAGUAUCUGAAGGGGUUUUUUACUUCAAUUAUCUGUGUUUUUAAUCUCACUUUGUGUUUACAACAGAUAAAGGAUAAUGGAUAAUGUUCUGCAAAGUUACUAGUACGCUGCCAUUUACUACUUUAGAUAUUUAGAUAUUUAGAUAUUUGUACAUUAAACACUUAUUAAAUGAUUAUUUGUAAGCAGUUUCAAAUCGCAGCUAGCUUGGUUCACGUGAUGUGUGUGCUGCUGGGCAUCUCGGCUUGUCUCUUUUUGUUCAGUUUAAAUAGUAAAUGUUAUUAGAAAGUUUCUGAGGUCUGAACUGUUGCUAAAUUUAACAAAAUAGCUGGAUUAUCUAGACAGUGUGAGGAUGACCAUUAGCUCCCUCUAGUGUAUGAAGCUUUCUAGCACUGCGUUAAAGGCUGUUUUUUAAUAUUGCAUGAAUUUUAUGAUUUUUUUUAAACCUCCGGCCUGGUUUGAGGCUGAAUAAAGCUGUGUGUUGUUAAUGAGAGACUACACGCAACAUGGGACGGUCUUAUGUCCUUUAUAAAGAUUUGAGUAUUUUGGUUGGGAAGGGUUUUCUCUGAAUAUGUGCUUUAUUGUUUCAUAAGCUAGGGGAAAGUGGAAGAAAUAAUUCUAAUUUAUGUGACAGAACCGAGUCUUUAUUUUUCCCAAAGUCACUUCUUUGGCCUUAGGAAGCACUGGGUAGGAUAAACACCGCUUUCUUUUUCUUCUUUUGCCUCAUCCUCACUACGUUCUUGUAAAACGUAUUCCUUUACCGUUUGGUUAAAUUAGUUUGUAAACUGUUUAAAGUAAAACCGGGGCCUUUAUCCCUAUAUGCAUUCUCUAGUUGGGCAUUUAAAGCUAAAUGUAGUCAUUGUGAUUAUAAUAAAUGACCAAAAUUAUCCAUCAGUUGACUUACCAUCCAUAUACCUUUUCUCCAUCAAAGCACAUUAAAACAGUGACGUCCCAUUACUCAGGAUAUAUCUGUAGGUGUAUAAUGUGGUGUGAAGUUGAGUUUGAACAUUAGGUAAUUAAAUGAUGACCUAAAUUAAAUAGUUUCUGGUUUCUGGAUAUCGGUGGGAAUAGAACAAUGUCAUCUGCCUGUUAGAAGUUGCAGUAAUGGCCACAUAUAACCAGCAGAGGUCCACAGAGACUCAUUCAUUUUCAAGCGAAAGAACAGCAGGAAGAAUCUACUGAUAACACCCGUACCAGUCACCGUAACCCCACGCCAAGAGAAAGAGCCCAUACUGAAUGGGUCACGAAUUUCUGAGCGUGAAAGAGAAAGACGAGACUCAAUUGCUUAUGCUUCUACUGCUUCUACAGCAGGACAUCGCAGCCUUGGAUGUCCACUCUAUCCUCAACCCCAGCCGCGAUUGACUCUGGAGCCGCUCUGAACCGGACUGACCACUGCAUCGUCACUAAAUUCAACAUAAUCCUUUAAUCCUCCCAUCAGAAUUAAAGCCAUCAACAACUCUCUUAUCGAAAGAGGAACUACCCAGCAGACUCUCACUCUUCACGUAGGGGUACAUCAAGAGUCCAUCUCCCUGUCACAGAAUCCCUCAAACAUGAAAUCAUCUUGGGAUUCCCGUGGCUCUCUACUCAUGAUCCUGACAUCUCAUGGCAUCACGGCGAGCUAAGAAACCUGUCUAUCUUCUGUCACGAUCGCUGCUUCGCCACCCAGCCUGCUUCACGUGUGACCACCAGCGGAGAAAGCCCAGAAACCCUAAAACCUGUUCAAAUCUCUUUGUGUUACGAUGAUUUGCCUGAAGGUUUUAGCAAAGUCAAGGCUACCAACAACCCCCUCAUCAAGCUUGGGAUUUGGAUGCCGUUAGGUAGCUGGACAAGCCGAGAGAAAAGGUGGUCAGGUGGUGACGAUUGUGGUCGUACACGUUCACACAGCAUAUUCAGAUAAACAGAUCAACUCUGAACAUCACAAGACGAUAAAAAAAAUCACAAUAGUAAGGAUACAAGACAUUUCAGCUGGUAAUUUAUUCGUGCUGCAACACUUAUUGUAAACUGUUACCUUAAUAGUAAAUAGCAAUAAAUGAUUUAGAUUCAUUUCCAUGCAGCAGAACUCAUUUUUAAAACUAAUUGCUCAAAUGACGUCAGAGCACGUGAUCGGAGCAUGAUUCAUGAGAGGCUAGCUGUACUACAGCGCUAUGACAAACAGGAACAAGUGCACUACAUAGACGCUUCCUGACUCUGCUUUUGGAGCUUUGUUAUUUGAGAGGACUUUAAACAUGAGUGGUAGACUACUAAACAAGCAGAAACGCAUUCACUGGGCGGAUUAUAUUAUAUUUUUUUAUAUUAUAUAGGCUAUUUUCUGCUUGUUUGUUCUUUAGAGAAGCUACAGUGGCCGAUAUUAUAGUAUACAGGAUAUAGGGUACAGGAGCCGUAGAUGAUGAUGGCCAGCAAUGAGGUUUCUUGACGAAGAUGCUUAUAGAUGAACCCACCUGCUUCUCUUCAGUGUUGAUGAUGACCAGAUCAGCUCCACGAUCCCUGCAGUACUGUCUGCUGUCAGACCAGCUCUUCUCCUCAUUGGACAUGAACAAGCCAUCUGGACCCCAC